UACAGGGGGUGCAAACGUUGCUCGGAAUCAUUGGGCGUAAAGCGCGCGUAGGCGGCCCGGUAAGUCCGCUGUGAAAGUCAAAGGCUCAACCUUUGAAUGUCAGCGGAUACUGCCGGGCUAGAGUCCGGAAGAGGCGAGUGGAACUCCUGGUGUAGCGGUGGAAUGCGCAGAUAUCAGGAAGAACACCAACGGCGAAGGCAGCUCGCUGGGACGGAACUGACGCUAAGGCGCGAAAAGCGUGGGGAGCGAACAGG
rnacentral:rRNA from 1 species